rnacentral:rRNA from 1 species
GAUGAACGCUGACAGAAUGCUUAACACAUGCAAGUCUACUUGAAUUUGGGUUUUUAACUUAGGUUUGGGUGGCGGACGGGUGAGUAACGCGUAAAGAACUUGCCUCACAGCUAGGGACAACAUUUAGAAAUGAAUGCUAAUACCUAAUAUUAUGAUAAUAGGGCAUCCUAUAAUUAUGAAAGCUAUAUGCGCUGUGAGAGAGCUUCGCGUCCUAUUAGCUAGUUGGUAAGGUAAAGGCUUACCAAGGCGAUGAUAGGUAGCCGGCCUGAGAGGGUGGACGGCCACAAGGGGACUGAGAUACGGCCCUUACUCCUACGGGAGGCAGCAGUGGGGAAUAUUGGACAAUGGAGGAAACUCUGAUCCAGCAAUUCUGUGUGUGUGAAGAAGGUCUUCGGAUUGUAAAACACUUUUAGUUGGGAAGAAACAAAUGACGGUACCAA